rnacentral:lncRNA from 1 species
GGCCUGGCCCUGCUUUCAUUACCUCUGCACUUCCAAGGACUCAGAAAUGUGUUUUUCCCAAAGGUAGCAUAUAAUUUUGGGAAUUGCAAUCAUUUUUUCCAUGUUCUUUUGAAGGCUGUAAAAUAAUUUUAGAUGCAAUAGUAAUUCUAGGUCCUUGCUUACCCUUGACCUUUGAAGUUUGAUUCAAAACAUCACACAUCUCCCAGUCCAGAUGUUGGCAAGUUAAUGAUAUAUUGCUGUAUGGAAGAGCUCAGCCUCAUUUGUACAAGGAGCUGGAAAUCUUUGGUAAUGUUAUCGUACCUUGAUUAUUUUUUAAGGAUACAGCUGAAAUAGAAUUUUGUUACUGUACAGGCAAAAGAAGAUGAAGGAUUAGAAAAAAAUAACGAAGCCCUCCUAAUGUAUUUGGAACUGAACAGUGUCAUGUAAUCAGGGUCAUUGGUGUCUCCAGAGUCUACAGCAAAUAGAAGUGCAUGAAGAAGGAGGUAUCUGGUGCUAUGUGGCUGGUCGUAACAUUGGCAGCAGCAACAGUGGCAAUAACAACAAAGAAUAUGCCAGUGUGUACGGUAUGCCAGGUACUAUGCUAAGAACUUUAGGCAUUUUAGCUCAUGAGCUUCUCCAAGGAAUGAGGGGGAAGAAAAGUUCCUAUGGAGACAUAUAACACCUUGUUUAAUUGUAAGGAAAUGGAGGCUCAUGGCAUAAAGCAACUUUCCUAAAGCCAUACACUUCUUAAGUAGAAGAACCAGAAUUUUAACCCUGGCAC